rnacentral:sRNA from 1 species
GCUGGGCAUGGUGGUGCACACCUGUGAUCCCAGCAGCUUGGGAGGCUGAGGCAGGAGGAUCAGAAGUUCAAGGCCAGCUUCAGCAAUUUAUCAAGGCCUUAAGAAACUUAGUGAGACCCCGUCUCAA